rnacentral:rRNA from 12 species
GUCAAGUGAAUAAGUGCAUAUGGUGAAUGCCUUGGCGAUUACAGGCGAUGAAGGACGUGAUAAUCUGCGAAAAGUUUCGGGGAGCUGAUAAAUAAGCUUUGAUCCGGAAAUAUCCGAAUGGGGAAACCCACCCGCAAGGGUAACCGCUCCUGAAUAUAUAGGGAGAUGGUGGCAAACCCGGUGAACUGAAACAUCUAAGUAGCCGGAGGAAAAGAAAUCAACCGAGAUUUCCCUAGUAGCGGCGAGCGAACGGGAAACAGCCUGCAAGUAAUAUUUAACGUUUUAGUGGAACAAGCUGGAAAGCUUAGCGAUACAGGGUGAUAGCCCCGUACACGAAAAGGCGUUAAAGGUACUAAGCUUGCGACAAGUAGGGCGGGGCACGAGAAACCUUGUCUGAACAUGGGGGGACCAUCCUCCAAGGCUAAAUACUCCUGACUGACCGAUAGUGAACCAGUACCGUGAGGGAAAGGUGAAAAGUACCUUGAAUAAAGGGGUGAAAUAGAACCUGAAACCGCACGCCUACAAGCGGUCGGAGGCACCUAGUGUGCUGACGGCGUGCCUUUUGCAUAAUGAGCCUACGAGUUACUCUUCACUAGCAAGGUUAAGUCAUUAAGUGACGUAGCCGUAGCGAAAGCGAGUCUGAAUAGGGCGCUUUAGUU